rnacentral:rRNA from 1 species
GUGAACGCUGGCGGUAGGCCUAACACCUGCAAGUCGCACGGCAGCACAGUAAGAGCUUGCUCUUACGGGUGGCGAGUGGCGGACGGGUGAGGAAUACAUCGGAAUCUACUUUUUCGUGGGGGAUAACGUAGGGAAACUUACGCUAAUACCGCAUACGACCUACGGGUGAAAGCAGGGGAUCUUCGGACCUUGCGCGAUUGAAUGAGCCGAUGUCGGAUUAGCUAGUUGGCGGGGUAAAGGCCCACCAAGGCGACGAUCCGUAGCUGGUCUGAGAGGAUGAUCGGCCACACUGGAACUGAGACACGGUCCAGACUCCUACGGGAGGCAGCAGUGGGGAAUAUUGGACAAUGGGCGCAAGCCUGAUCCAGCCAUACCGCGUGGGUGAAGAAGGCCUUCGGGUUGUAAAGCCCUUUUGUUGGGAAAGAAAAGCAGCAGGUUAAUACCCCGCUGUUCUGACGGUACCCAAAGAAUAAGCACCGGCUAACUUCGUG